rnacentral:tRNA from 1 species
ACCUGCCUGGCUCAGUCAGUAGAGCAUGUGACUCUUGAUCUCCAGGUUGUGAGUUCGAGCCCCACGUUGGGUA